rnacentral:rRNA from 1 species
UACGGAGGGUGCGAGCGUUGUCCGGAAUCAUUGGGCGUAAAGGGCGCGUAGGUGGCCCGGUCAGUUCGUGGUGAAAGCGCGGGGCUCAACCCUGCGUCGGCCAUGAAUACUGCCGCGGCUGGAGCACUGUAGAGGCAGGCGGGAAUUCCAGGUGUAGCGGUGAAAUGCGUAGAUAUCGAGAGGAACACCUGCGGCGAAGGCGGGUUGCUGGGCUGACACUGACGCUGAGGCGCGAAAGCUAGGGGAGCGAACGGG